rfam:Trachymyrmex zeteki contig6781, whole genome shotgun sequence.
GUCUCGGUGGUCUAAAGGCUUAGGACGCUCGCACGGAAUGCAAGAGAUCCGGGUUCGACUCCCGGCCGAGGCA